AGGACUUUGCGGGUGCCUAUACAUGCAGUCGAACGCGUUGGCCCAAUUGAUUGAUGGUGCUUGCACCUGAUUGAUUUUGGUCGCCAACGAGUGGCGGACGGGUGAGUAACACGUAGGUAACCUGCCCAGAAGCGGGGGACAACAUUUGGAAACAGAUGCUAAUACCGCAUAACAACGUUGUUCGCAUGAACAACGCUUAAAAGAUGGCUUCUCGCUAUCACUUCUGGAUGGACCUGCGGUGCAUUAGCUUGUUGGUGGGGUAACGGCCUACCAAGGCGAUGAUGCAUAGCCGAGUUGAGAGACUGAUCGGCCACAAUGGGACUGAGACACGGCCCAUACUCCUACGGGAGGCAGCAGUAGGGAAUCUUCCACAAUGGGCGCAAGCCUGAUGGAGCAACACCGCGUGAGUGAAGAAGGGUUUCGGCUCGUAAAGCUCUGUUGUUAAAGAAGAACACGUAUGAGAGUAACUGUUCAUACGUUGACGGUAUUUAACCAGAAAGUCACGGCUAACUACGUGCCAGCAGCCGCGGUAAUACGUAGGUGGCAAGCGUUAUCCGGAUUUAUUGGGCGUAAAGAGAGUGCAGGCGGUUUUCUAAGUCUGAUGUGAAAGCCUUCGGCUUAACCGGAGAAGUGCAUCGGAAACUGGAUAACUUGAGUGCAGAAGAGGGUAGUGGAACUCCAUGUGUAGCGGUGGAAUGCGUAGAUAUAUGGAAGAACACCAGUGGCGAAGGCGGCUACCUGGUCUGCAACUGACGCUGAGACUCGAAAGCAUGGGUAGCGAACAGGAUUAGAUACCCUGGUAGUCCAUGCCGUAAACGAUGAGUGCUAGGUGUUGGAGGGUUUCCGCCCUUCAGUGCCGGAGCUAACGCAUUAAGCACUCCGCCUGGGGAGUACGACCCGCAAGGUUGAAACUCAAAGGAAUUGACGGGGGCCGCACAAGCGGUGGAGCAUGUGGUUAAUUCGAAGCUACGCGAAGAACCUUACCAGGUCUUGACAUCUUGCGCCAACCCUAGAGAUAGGGCGUUUCCUUCGGGAACGCAAUGACAGGUGUGCAUGGUCGUCGUCAGCUCGUGUCGUGAGAUGUUGGGUAAGUCCGCACGAGCGCACCCUUGUUACUAGUGCAGCAUAGUGGGCCCUCUAGUGAGACUGCCGGUGACAACCCGGAGAAGGGUGGGACAGACGUCCGAUCUAUCAUGCCCUUUGACG
rnacentral:rRNA from 1 species